AGCGUUGAUGUGGAGGAUUGUGUCAGCAUGCAGUGCUUCACGGAGCUCUCGAUGGGUUGUAUGUGUAGACCGCCAGCUGACUUUAUGCACGCAGGACGUGCAGACAGAAAACAUUCAA
rnacentral:sRNA from 1 species